rnacentral:rRNA from 1 species
AGCAGCCGCGGUAAUUCCAGCUCCAAUAGCGUAUAUUAAAGUUGUUGCAGUUAAAAAGCUCGUAGUUGAAUUUCGGGAUUAAUAUGCUGGUCGUGCCUUUGGUACGUACUGGUAUUAUUGGUUUCUCCUUUUUGAUGAAUCACGAUGUCAUUAAUUUGGUGUCAUGGGGAAUCAGGACUGUUUGAAAAAAUUAGAGUGUUUAAAGCAGGCUUACGCUUGAAUACAUUAGCAUGGAAUAAUGAAAUAGGACGUUUAAUUCUAUUUUGUUGGUUUCUAGGAUUGACGUAAUGAUUAAUAGGGAUAGUUGGGGGCAUUAGUAUUCAAUUGUCAGAGGUGAAAUUCUUGGAUUUAUUGAGGACUAACUACUGCGAAAGCAUUUGCCAAGGAUGUUUUCAUUAAUCAAGGACGAAAGUUAGGGGAUCGAAGACGAUCAGAUACCGUCGUAGUCUUAACCAUAAACUAUGCCGACUAGGGAUCGGAUGAUGUUAAUUUAUGACUCAUUCGGCGCCUUACGGGAAAC